rnacentral:rRNA from 1 species
AACGAACGCUGGCGGCAGGCUUAACACAUGCAAGUCGAACGCAUCCUUCGGGGUGAGUGGCAGACGGGUGAGUAACACGUGGGAACGUACCUUUCGGUUCGGGAUAACCCAGGGAAACUUGGGCUAAUACCGGAUACGUCCUUUGGGAGAAAGAUUUAUUGCCGAGAGAUCGGCCCGCGUCUGAUUAGCUAGUUGGUGAGGUAACGGCUCACCAAGGCGACGAUCAGUAGCUGGUCUGAGAGGAUGAUCAGCCACACUGGGACUGAGACACGGCCCAGACUCCUACGGGAGGCAGCAGUGGGGAAUAUUGGACAAUGGGCGCAAGCCUGAUCCAGCCAUGCCGCGUGAGUGAUGAAGGCCCUA